rnacentral:rRNA from 1 species
AACGAACGCUGGCGGCAUGCCUAACACAUGCAAGUCGAACGAGACCUUCGGGUCUAGUGGCGCACGGGUGCGUACCGCGUGGGAACCUGCCCUUAGGUUCGGAAUAACUCCCCGAAAGGGGUGCUAAUACCGGAUAAUGUCUUCGGACCAAAGAUUUAUCGCCUUUGGAUGGGCCCGCGUUGGAUUAGCUAGUUGGUAGGGUAAAAGCCUACCAAGGCGACGAUCCAUAGCUGGUCUGAGAGGAUGAUCAGCCACACUGGGACUGAGACACGGCCCAGACUCCUACGGGAGGCAGCAGUGGGGAAUAUUGGACGAUGGGCGAAAGUCUGAUCAAGCAAUGCCGCGGAAGUGAUGAAGGCCUUAGGGAUGUAAAGCUCUUUUACCCGGGAUGAUAAUGACAGUACCGGGAGAAUAAGCUCCGGCUAACUCCGUG